CACGUAGGGGACGAGCGUUGUCCGGAUUCAUUGGGCGUAAAGCGCGCGUAGGCGGCUCGGAAAGUCGGUCGUGAAAUGCCGGGGCUCAACCCCGGGACUGCGUCCGAUACUCUCGAGCUGGAGGCAGGUAGGGGAGAUCGGAAUUCCUGGUGUAGCGGUGAAAUGCGCAGAUAUCAGGAGGAACACCAAUGGCGAAGGCAGCUCGCUGGGACGGUACUGACGCUGAGGCGCGAAAGCGUGGGGAGCGAACAGG
rnacentral:rRNA from 1 species